rnacentral:rRNA from 1 species
GAUGAACGCUGGCGGCGUGCCUAAUACAUGCAAGUCGAGCGAACAGACGAGGAGCUUGCUCCUCUGACGUUAGCGGCGGACGGGUGAGUAACACGUGGAUAACCUACCUAUAAGACUGGGAUAACUUCGGGAAACCGGAGCUAAUACCGGAGAAUAUAUUGAACCGCAUGGUUCAAUAGUGAAAGACGGUUUUGCUGUCACUUAUAGAUGGAUCCGCGCCGCAUUAGGUAGUUGGUAAGGUAACGGCUUACCAAGGCAACGAUGCGUAGCCGACCGGAGAGGGUGAUCGGCGACACUGGAGCUGGACCAGCGUCCAGAGUCCUACGAGAGGCAGCAGUAGGGAACGUUCGGCAGUGGUCGAGAGCCUGGCGGAGCAGCGGCACGUGUGAUAUGGAAAUCUUCGGAUCGUGAAACUCUGUUACGGGGGAAAAACAAAUGUGUCAGUAGCUAUAGCGGUCUUGACGGUACCUAAUCAGAAAGCCCCGGCUAACUACGUG